UUUUUAAAUAAAGUUACUUUUGAAUUUUAUUAGAUUUUAUCAUUUAGUACGGUUGGUUUCAUUGUAAACAACGUUUUUUAUGAAGUGAUGCAACUUGAAGAUUUUUUGAAAGCAGUUCCAACUAAUUCCAAAUAAAGAAAAUAAAAGUUGGAAGUAAAAAUGAACGAUAUUAAAGUGUUUGUAAAAUAUUGCAAUUUUACGACCCAACUCUUUGGAUUUUCAGAAUACAGCCAAAUACCGAGUAAUUUAGAUCUCUUGGAAAUGUUAUUUAUAGCCACAGCAAAUGUUAAUCAAAGUGACUCUUUUUUAUUUUCUUGUAACACGGAACAAAAGUUUGCUGAUAAAAUUAUUACUGAUGA